rnacentral:rRNA from 1 species
GCGAGAAAACUUUGCAAUGUGCGAAAGCACGACAAGGUUAAUCCGAGUGGUUUCUGCUAAAGAAACCUUUUGUCAGUCCUAGAAACACUAACGAAUAAGGGGUGGGCAAGUUCUGGUGUCAGCCGCCGCGGUAAAACCAGCACCUCAAGUGGUCAGGAUGAUUAUUGGGCCUAAAGCAUCCGUAGCUCGUUUUGUAAGUUUUCGGUUAAAUCCAUACGCUUAACGUAUGGGCUGCCGGGAAUACUGCAUAACUAGGAAGUGGGAGAGGUAGACGGUACUCGGUAGGAAGGGGUAAAAUCCUUUGAUCUAUUGAUGACCACCUGUGGCGAAGGCGGUCUACCAGAACACGUUCGACGGUGAGGGAUGAAAGCUGGGGGAGCAAACCGGAUUAGAUACC